CGAAGAAGACGAAGAAAACACUCGUUUAUUUCUAUCGCUUGGCAAGGACCAGCAGCUUGCAGUAGGUGAACACUUAUUGUCAAAGAGACCGCCGGAGCUAGCAAGCGCUUUGGAAAACCGACAAAUUUUUAUGAUUUUUUUUCUUGCUGUUUCAAGACAAGAGUCGACGCGUAUCGAAACCGCACUGAAAGGCAGACGAGCAGCAGCCUCAGCAGCGCAAAGAGUUAAUGAAUAACAAAACAAACGAACAGUGAGCGGCCCGCCGACAUGGAGCUAGUGUAGCCUUAUGUUGUGUAAAGCUGCUGCUGCUGGCUGUUUGGUUGGUUGGUUGGUUGUUUGGUGCUCACACAUUCGCGCCGCCGAGUAGUACUAUGGCAAAAGGAAUAAAUAUACGAUACGAACAAACGAGCAGCAGCAAGAGCCAAAGAGCAAGCCAGCAAGCGAGCGAGCAAACUUGCGACGACGACAGCUCCAACAACAGCAACAACUUUAUAUACUACUCAUAAUAACAAAAUAAUAAUAAUAACAACAAAACUGAAAUUAGCACUAGACUUCAAACACACACACACACACAUACGUAUAUGAAUUUACGCAUUCUCACACACAAGUGGUAAUAUUUGGAGCUGAUAACAACAACCAUACUCAAGCUAGCAAACUACAACAACAAAACUAAUUUGAACCUUACUCUAAUAAUGACAAAUGUCCAACAACAACAGAAACAAACAUCCAUAACAGGCCAUAUAGGUACCAAAAAAAAAAUGUAUUGAACCUUAUCUCACACAAAGAUGAAAUGACACCAGGCAUCCCACAAACACUUGGGCAAACACAUAUGUCCAAAAACUAAAACCAAUGAAUGGAAAAAACAACUCCCCCAGAAAAACACUACAAUACCAUGAGAGUGAAUAGGAAAUAAAAUAACAACACAUAAUCAAAUUGUAAGAGAAAAAAUAAAUUCUUCUAUGUAUUAUAGACCAUUUAAA